rnacentral:lncRNA from 10 species
UUCCCCUCCUUUUUUGUUAGUGACUCUGUUAAAAGGAUGCUGCAAUUAACGGCCUGGACAGAGGAUGGGGACAUGAAUAAUGGUAGAGUCCAGCAUUAGCACAACACUCCAUUCAUCACUGCUGAAGGGCAAAUGCAUAACCCUCAAAAUGAUCCUGGAAAGAGGAAAAGGGAGAGGAAUUGCAAGUUCCAUGGAACAGUGAUUUACCAUGCAGCAGAGGAUGUGAGCAUCUCCGAAAUAGAAGGGUCCACAUAUUUUGAACUUUAACAUAUAUAAUGAUACUUAUAAUGUGACUGUUACGGGCAGCUGAUUUUUCAUACAAUUGACAUGUGAGUAUUUUCCAGGCAGGCAUCUUAUUUCCUGUGUAUGUGCCCCCUAUUUAUGCAGGACCAUCAACAGGACCAACAUUGAGUAGAAAUCAGUCACAGCAAACCACUUUCCUUUUUAUUUCAUGUACUCUGUACCCUCCUUUAAUGGCAACAUAAUUGCAUCAUAUCAUUGGUUUGUAGUGUGGAGGCUGUGGGUCUGAUUUUUAGUUUCCCAAUCCGUGCAGAAUAUUCAGAAGAAUAGAGGGUUGGAGACCUCUAGUUCAGGUCAAAAUCAGUGUGAAAGGCUUGACUUUGGAAAGGGUAAAGAGAGUUCAAUUUAAACUGAGUCUCCAGCUAGGGGCAGGGAGAGGAAAGAGGAGUUAGUCUCCCACAAGAGGAGACUAGCAUAAUCUUUGUGCCCUAAUUAGGCAUCCUUGGGCUUAGGGAAUUACUAGGGGAUACGGGAGUGUAAUGCAGGAAAACCAAGGCAGAAGUCAUGUCCGAGAGUCUGGAUCAAUCCUUCAGGGCAGGGGGUGGAGCAAGGGAAGAAAGGGGAGCUGUGCCAAGGGGUCUACCAGUGGGCCCAGGGCAGAUCCCAAGUCCAUAAGCAAUAGGAUCAGGUCCAGGUACCACCUUCUUGAAAUCUGAGGCUGCUGCUGUACUUCCUGCCCCUGCUACCUUGGGCCUGGGGCUGUAAAUGUCAUCAGAUAGUCCACCUGGAAGGGCCUGUGGAAAGCAAAAUCAGAGAAACAAGGCAGGAGCUGGCCACUUGUGAAAUUUUUCCUGGAAACUCUGUCAUGGAAUCAUGUUUUAGAUACCAGAAGGAAGGGCUGCUCUGACUAACUGACCAUGAAUCGGAGAAGAGGCCUGCGAUGAUCUAGGCAGUGGGUUAUGGGAGAGGAAUGGAAAACUGCAGAAUGGAUUCUCCAGCCCAUUCAGCGCUCAUACUACAUGGGCAUGUUCACAGACCUGCAGGCUUUGCCUUUGUCUGUCUCCCUGCUUUUGGAAGGGAUGGCACAGCUUUGCCCCCUUUCCUGGAGGCACAGUAGUCUGACUUGAGUCUUUCGCUGUCUUCUGUAUCCAACUCAUUCAUGAAAUUAUAUGAGAUAAUUUCCAAAUAAGUGACUUUUUUGGCUUAUUUGCCCAAUUGACUUAAUUAUUGCCGGUUUAUUCUUCUUGUUUUGGAUUCCUUGAGCUGAGAGAGUGAAAAAGGGAGUUUAUUUAAGAAGAUAAGGACAGAUUAGGUUUUCAAUUUGGUGGUAUGAUGCAGUCUGCUUUCUUAACUCUAUUAUGACCUAUUUAGUGUUUGUUUUUCUCUUAUUGUGGAAGUAACAUAUGCUGAUUAUAGAGAUAUAGAAAAAGAUAAAAAGUAUCCAUUUCAAUUGACCAAUAAUGUCCUCUCAGCAAUUUGGUGUAUAUCAUGUAUUUUUAAAUAAACAGAUUGCUUUGUAAAUACACUUUAUAUCUUACUGUUGUAACAUUAAAAAAAAGGUGGUUAAAAUGGCGAGCAAGUGCAGAACAGCAGCACUUGGAAAGUAAGCUGGGGAUGGCAAAAGCCUCAAUUUCUGUUUCCACAAAGCACUCUGUUCUCUUUGUUGAUCACUGAGACCCAGAAGCUACCAUCUCCAGUGGAACUGGAACCUUUGUUUUUCUUGAUCUCUGCAUCGUGUGGCUCAGCCCCGGUUGGAACUGAAGCUUGGAAUAAAGCCACAGUGAGCUGGGUCACACUGUUUCUUAGACUUCCCCCCACAGUACCUUGUUUGGAGAGAAUUAUAACUGAAAGGGAAAAAAUUCCCUCUGGCAAGAAACUUGGCUUAGAAAUGCUCAUUUGGAGAAGCUUAUUAUUAUUAUUAUUUUUUGGUUUUGCUGUUUAAAUAAGGUCACUGCUAUAAAUCAAUGUUUGUGAGUGUUAGAGAAGACCAAGUAAAUAAAUAAAGCCCUACGUAUUUAUUGUAAACAGAAACACCCUAGAGGUUCUCCAGGGGAAGAGAGAGUGAGAGAAAGGUCACCAUUUCUUGCAUACAGAAAAUUAACUGUUUCAUUAGUUUAGAUAGAAACACAUUUUUUCUUUAAAAUUAGUUAUGAGGAAAAUAUUUCCAAGUUUGUGCCUCUUAUUAGGUGUAUGAAGUAUCAAAAAUAUUAAGUACAACUAACAGCAUUAGGACUUGUUCUCACCUCAACUCCAUCAUCUGAAUAAAACCACUGAAAAAGAGAAAAACAGCUCCUGACGUAAGGAAACUGGCCUGAUAUUUACAUCUAGUUCAUAGUGUUUGCCUGUUGGACACAAAUGAUCUCAUAGAACAUCAACAACAGACCAAGGCACUCUGACUAUAAUGGAGUGAGAGAAAAAACAAGUGAGACAAGACAACUUCAAAAUUUUGUCUAAGCACAGGCAAAACCAAAUGACCCAAAUACCAGACAUCCUCCUCUCUUGGCUAACAUGAGUGACUAUCAAAGCUUUAGCCUCUAUGUGUUCCUCUUGACUUAUAGAGAAGAUUCAUUAGGAUACUGAUAUGGUUUGGCUCUGUAUCCUCACCCAAAUCUCAUCUUGUAGCUCCCAGAAUUCCCACGUGUUAUGGGAGGGACCCAGUGGGAGAUAAUUGAGUCAUGAGGGCGGGUCUUUCCUGUGCUGUUCUCGUGAUAAUAAAUAAGUCUCAUGAGAUCUGAAGGUUUUAAAAAUGGGAGUUUCCCUGCACAAGUUCUCUUCUCUUGUCUGCUGCCAUGUGAGAUGUGCCUUUCACCUUCUGCUGUGAUUGUGAGGCCUUCCCAGCCACAUGGAACUGUAAGUCCAAU